GCCGAGAUAGCUCAGUUGGUAGAGCGAGGGACUGAAAAUCCCUGCGUCGGCAGUUCAAUCCUGUCUCUCGGCACCA
rnacentral:tRNA from 1 species